rnacentral:lncRNA from 1 species
GCCAACAAGGCUUAUUUGGGCUGUACAGCUCUCUGUCUUGAUGAAAUACUAUUUAGCAUCAUUUAGCAGCCUGAUUGCUGGAUGCUACUAAGUCAUCAGAUCCUGCCUGGAACACUCAUCUGCUUGUUUUUCCAGGGAACAUGGAUGUCAGGCCGCGUGUGUGAUAGGCAAGGCCACAAAAUGAGCAUCAGGGAUGUGCAUCCCUGAAGUUGAGUUUCACAGAUGGAGGAGUAGUUUGAAGAUGAGGUGAUGGUCUUCCAGCACGAUUAUGUGAAUUACAGAACCUGAACCAUGGUUUACACAAGUCAUUUUCCUUGGAAAAUAAAUACCUGCUCUUGAAAAUAUCUGAACGUGUAGAAAUGAAGUAAGGAAAUGUGGUAGUUGCCAGUCAGCCAGGGCUUCCCCUCAGUUUACUGUGUUCAUCAGCCUUAGCCUGGUGCGAGGCACAGCAGCCAUUUGAAUACAACAUGCAUGAGCCAGCUGGCAGCAUUGUGUCUGUUGGGCUAGUCAGCAGCAGGAUUCUCUCUUUUACUUAGGUGACGCUCUGAUCAUUUUUCAAUGUUU